GAUCCACUUGAAAAUGAAUUUCCGGCUGAUAUCAACACAGUUUUAGCAUCUUAAACUGCCCGCGAAUAGUAACUAACCAGAUGCCGAGUGCGACGCAUGUGUAGUGAAGUAAGAAGCUUUCGUUGCGAGCACUGCAUAAAUAUUUAUGAAAAAAGUAUAAUUUUUCCUGUGAAUGCUCAAUAAGCAGAAGCAGCGAUCAGUAAUAAUUCCAUGAGCGAUAAAAACACAGAAACAACAGAGGAAGCGGCUCUAAGUCAUAUUGGAACAAUUAUUGGAAAUUUCAAAGAUUGAGGUAGCCAUCGAAAGCAGAGGAGGUUAUA